GUCUCGUUGAUUAUUCCUAUAGAAAAUAUAGUUUGUCCUUCCCAUUAUUAUCCAUUUGGCACUAUGUUAAGAGAGAGAGAGAGAGAUAGAGGGAAUGAGAGAGAGGCUGCGGAUAAGAGAAAUUGGGAAGAUCAUGGCCGUUUUAAUAGAAGAGAGAGACCAUUACGUUGAUUUAAUUAUUAUCCAGGUGAGCACAGUAAGUCAAGGUCAUAAAAUUCUAACGUCAGAAUCGUCUCGUGGUAGAAGCGCACAGCUAGGGGUGUAUUUUAUGAUCUGCAAAUAUAAUGUGCUAGCUGGCUGCUGCAGUUAAGAUGCAUAGUUUAAAGGUGUGUGGAGGAGAGGAGGGACAGGCUGCUCUACACAUAGGAGAGGGCCUACUGGAUAGAACGAAUGCGCUCGGGGGGUUCCCUCUGCUAUGGAGGCAAGCUGCAGCCUUCUAUUGUGGAUACUGCAUCUCAGCAAGAAAGGAAACAGAUGGAUGAUUAUCAACAACAAUUACAACGACAACAAGGACAGCAUGGAUAAAUGAGGACCACGACGACAGAGGGUGUGUGAGGAAAUGCAAGACAACAAUCGAGGACUGAGGCGGAAUGAAGGGGAGCAUGUAUGUAUCAGUUAAGAAGAAAUAAACGCGUAUUGCUAUGCUGCCUGAAGAAUCGGAGCGGGUUCCUCGGGCGCCAUUAAGUUCCUUUCAGACUAUUGGAGGAUAGCUACAAGUGACUUCACGGUUUAUCCAUCUGGUUAUAUUCAAUACAGUCUUACAUCUUAUUCAAAGUCAUUUAAGUUCUGUUCAUGCAAAAGUUCAUUCCUUCCCAACUUUUGAGGUCAUAUCCAUUUGAAGUGCACCCUGCUAUAUCUAUGGACCACCACCAAUCCCCCAUAUGUCAUCCACAGGGCUACUACAACACUAGCACCUGCUGGAUAUGGCACUGGACACAGUAGAGGCCACGCGCCACAAUUCAGAGAGAUCCCACUCUUUCGUCCUACUGUCACCCCUUCUGCUUGUGUCAGCUGCACUCUGCUCCUGUCUGACCCGUUCUGGGGCACGCCUGACCUGGUGGAUACCCGCCAUGGUGAUUCAGUGUGCUGUCAUAACGAGGCUGGUGGUCUCCUAAGUAGAGGAAGAGAUGGAAAAAGAUACAGAGACAGAGGGAGAGACAGAGGGAGGCGAGGCGAGAGCCACAGCGUUCACCAGCACCCAGCUAGUGUUACUAGAGAAGGAAUUCCACUUCAGGCCCUACCUGUGUCCACCCCGCAGGCUGGAGAUGGCUGCAGGCCUGAGGCUCACCGAUCAGCAGGCUGGAGAUGGCUGCAGGCCUGAGGCUCACCGAUCAGCAGGCUGGAGAUGGCUGCAGGCCUGAGGCUCACCGAUCAGCAGGCUGGAGAUGGCUGCAGGCCUGAGGCUCACCGAUCAGCAGAUCAAGAUCUGAUUCCACAACCGACGCAUGAAACACGAGAAGGACCAUUAGGAGGACAGUGUCAUAGAGACUGAGACGCCAAGCCAUCCUUCUCUACCACCACACACGUUGUCCUCCCUCAGUCCAAGGUUCUCUAUUGGUGUUGGGUACUCAGUUCUUGUCUGGUGAGAGCGCCUAGAUCUCCAACCCUCCUCUUCAUAGAUUAAGAUCGUACCCCUGCUCUGGUUGGUUUUAACAGUAGAAAUGACAGUGAAUGUUUUUGUGUUUCCUCCAUGGAUCUUCCCCAUCUCACCACCAUACCUGCACCUGUCUCUUACUGUUGGAGACAGCAGUUUUUUGUCCACAGGUCUCUCAGAACCUUCCCCAUGGCACAAUGAUGCACACCUAUCUUAUGACAUCAGUGCACGCUUCAAACGUCACGGCUUCCCCCUAGAACCUAUUACUCACCAUUGAGAGUAGGGCACAACCCUAACACCUACUGUGAGGGGAAAAAGUAUUUGAUCCCCUGCUGAUUUUGUACGUUUUCCCACCGACAAAUAAAUUAUUAGUCUAUAAUUUUAAUGGUAGGUUUAUUUGAACAGUGAGAGACAGAAUAACAACAACAAAACAAUCCAGAAAGACGCAUGUCAAAAAAGUUAUAAAUUGAUUUGUAUUUUAAUAAGGGAAAUAAGUAUUUGACCCCUCUGCAAAACAUGACUUAGUACUUGGUGGCAAAACCCUUGUUGGCAAUCACAGAGGUCAGACGUUUCUUGUAGUUGGCCACUAGAUUUGCACACAUCUCAGGAGGGAUUUUGUCCCACUCCUCUUUGCAGAUCUUCUUCAAGUCCUUAAGGUUUUGAGGCUGACGUUUGGCAACUCGAACCUUCAGCUCCCUCCACAGAUUUUCUAUGGGAUUAAGUUCUGGAGACUGGCUAGGCCACUCCAGGACCUUAUUGUGCUUCUUCUUGAGCCACUCCUUUGCUGCCUUGGCCGUGUGUUUUGGGUCAUUGUCAUGCUGGAAUACCCAUCCACAACCCAUUUCCAAUGCCCUGGCUGAGGGAAGGAGGAUCUCACCCAAGAAUUGACGGUACAUGGCCCCGUCCAUCGUCCCUUUGAUGCGGUGAAGUUGUCCUGUCCCCUUAGCAGAAAAACACCCCCAAAGCAUAAUGUUUCCACCUCCAUGUUUGACGGUGGGGAUGGCGUUCUUGGGGUCAUAGGCAGCAUUCCUCCACCUCCAAACACGGCAAGUUGAGUUGAUGCCAAAGAGCUCCAUUUUGGUGUCAUCUGACCACAACACUUUCACCCAGUUGUCCUCUGCAUCAUUCAGAUGUUCAUUGGCAAACUUCAGACGGGCAUGUAUAUGUGCUUUCUUGAGCAGGGGGACCUUGCGGGCGCUGCAGGAUUUCAGUCCUUCACAGGACUACCAAUUGUUUUCUUGGUGACUAUGGUCUCAGCUGCCUCGAGAUCUUUGACAAGAUCCUCGCUACUAGUUCUGGGCUGAUUCCUCACCGUUCUCAUGAUCAUUGCAACUCCACGAGGUGAGAUCUUGCAUGGAGCACCAGGCCGAGGGAGAUGGACAGUUAUUUAGUGUUUCCUCCAAUUGCUAAUAAUUGCAUCAACUGUUGUCACCUUCUCACCAAGCUGCUUGGCGAUGGUCUUGUAACCCAUUCCAGCCUUGUGUAGGUCUACAAUCUUGUCCCUGACAUCCUUGAGAGCUCGUUGGACUUGGCCAUGGUGGAGAGUUUGGAAUCUGAUUGAUUGAUUGCUUCUGUGGACAGGUGUCUUUUAUACAGGUAACAAACUGAGAUUAGGAGCACUGCCUUUAAGAGUGUGCUCCUAAUCUCAGUUCAUUACCUGUAUAAAAGACACCUGGGAGCCAGAAAUCUUUCUGAUUGAGAGGGGGUCAAAUACUUAUUUCCCUCAUUAAAAUGCAAAUCAAUUUAUAACAUUUUUGACAUACGUUUUUAUUUUAUUUAUUUUAUCCUGUCUCUCACUGUUCAAAUAAACCUACCAUUAAAAUUAUAGACUGAUUACUUCUUUGUCAGUGGGAAAACGUACAAAAUCAGCAGGAGAUCAAUUACUUUUUUCCCUCACAGUAGAUUGUGAGUCGAAGGGCUCAAUUCAAUCAAACCAGCCCUGCAGACGUUACCUUUCAUUCAACGUUUUGAUAGCAGCUACCUGAACAAGGCAUAAUUAUUACCUGUAGGUUAUCCUGAGUAUCCCUGGGACAAGGUUUCUUGUCCAAAGCAACCACUACUGCCCCCUCUGUUGCUAUUCUAUUAUACCUUGUGGCAGAUGUAAGGCAUGAUGUACUGUACAUAGCAUACCAGUAAUCUUUUGGCAUAAUUGACCUGAUUUAGCUUAUAGCAAUAAACUCCUCAAAUACCUUCUACUGGUAUUACUGUACUGUUUUGCAUGAUGAAUGCAUGUUUUGAAUACAUCAUUAAUCUGUGUCAGAUAAUGUAUCAGAUAAUUGACUUGUGGUUGUCAUCUCUGUAAAUCGUAGAGAAAAUAAUUUGACUUUGCUAUAGUUGUUUGAUGUUAUGUUCUGAUCGUGUAAGUAACAUAAUUUACUAGCCAUCCAUUUAGUAUUUUCAAGACCUCCUCCUGUGUCAAAUACAUGUGGCUGUUGUAUCCGUAGACCAGAGGGAGAGACUUGACUUUGGCUGUAGGUGUCAUGUGUUAGGUCUUGUUUCAUGUGUUCUUAUCAUGUUCAUAGCUGCUCAUAUGUGUAAGUUGUUUAUAUGUGUAAGUUGUUAAGGCUAAGUGUGAAAACACAAGCAAGCAUAUGUUCAUACUGAACAAAGUUCUAUUUUUGUUAUGUAUGUAUUAUGUAAAUUACGUUUUUGAUACUGUUCUUGAUUAUUUGAGAUGUUUAAUAAAUGCAUUUGUGUGAAAUCAA